rnacentral:rRNA from 1 species
GUAGUCCACGCCCUAAACGAUGCAUAUUUGGUGUGGGCCAUUCAUUUGGUCUGUGCCGGAGCUAACGCGUUAAAUAUGCCGCCUGGGGAGUACAGUCGCAAGGCUGAAACUCAAAGGAAUUGACGGGGGCCCGCACAAGCGGUGGAGCAUGUGGUUUAAUUCGACGCAACGCGAAGAACCUUACCUGGGCUCGAAAUGCUUACGACCAUCUUUGGAAACAGAGACUUCCCGCAAGGGACGUGAGUAUAGGUGCUGCAUGGCUGUCGUCAGCUCGUGUCGUGAGAUGUUGGGUUAAGUCCCGCAACGAGCGCAACCCUUGUCCUGUGUUGCCAUCAUUAAGUUGGGAACUCGCAGGAGACCGCCAGGGAUAACCUGGA